GCCAUAGUACUCUGAACAUGCCUCAAUUUGUCUGACCUUGGAAACUAAACAGGUUCACCCUGAUAAGUAGCUGGGUGGGAGAAAUUAAUUACAAUCUGAGCAGGCU
rnacentral:rRNA from 1 species